rnacentral:rRNA from 1 species
CAGCAGCCGCGGUAAUACGUAGGGUCCGAGCGUUGUCCGGAAUUAUUGGGCGUAAAGGGCUCGUAGGCGGUUUGUUGCGUCGGGAGUGAAAACCCAGGGCUUAACUUUGGGCUUGCUUUCGAUACGGGCAGACUUGAGGCAUUGAGGGGAGAACGGAAUUCCUGGUGUAGCGGUGAAAUGCGCAGAUAUCAGGAGGAACACCGGUGGCGAAGGCGGUUCUCUGGCAAUGUUCUGACGCUGAGGAGCGAAAGUGUGGGGAGCGAACAGGAUUAGAUACCCCCGUAGUCCCUGUCUCUUAUAC